GCCAGCGUAGCUCAACGGUAGAGCACCGGUUUUGUAAACCGGCGGUUAAGAGUUCGAUUCUCUUCGCUGGCU
rfam:Phycisphaerae bacterium ST-NAGAB-D1, complete genome.